GUACCAGAUCCAGCAGGUCGGGAGGUUCAAGGAGCCCCACGCCGUAUUCUACGCAGCAGAAAUAGCCAUCGGCCUCUUCUUCCUGCAGAGCAAAGGCAUCAUUUACCGAGACCUGAAGCUGGACAACGUGAUGCUGGACAGCGAGGGGCACAUCAAGAUCGCGGAUUUCGGGAUGUGCAAGGAGAACAUCUGGGACGGGGUCACCACCAA